rnacentral:rRNA from 1 species
GAUGUGGAGCAAAACACAAAAAGACAGUCUCAGUUCAGAUUGUAGGCUGAAACUCGCCUAUAUGAAGUCGGAAUUGCUAGUAAUCGCAGAUCAGCAUGCUGCGGUGAAUACGUUCCCGGGCCUUGUACACACCGCCCGUCACACCAUGGGAGCCGGAAAUGCCCGAAGCCAGUGACCCAACCUUAGGGAGGGAGCUGUCGAAGGUGGAGCCGGUAACUGGGGUGAAGUCGUAACAAGGUACC